rnacentral:rRNA from 1 species
CGGGACGGGUGAGUAACGCGUGGGUAACCUGCCUCAUACAGGGGGAUAACAGUUAGAAAUGACUGCUAAUACCGCAUAAGCGCACAAAACCGCAUGGUUUGGUGUGAAAAACUGAGGUGGUAUGAGAUGGACCCGCGUCUGAUUAGCUAGUUGGAGAGGUAUCGGCUCACCAAGGCAACGAUCAGUAGCCGACCUGAGAGGGUGACCGGCCACAUUGGGACUGAGACACGGCCCAAACUCCUACGGAAGGCAGCAG